GCCAUAGAGAAAUGCAUAUUUUGAUUGUAAGCGAUUACUAGUUAGUUUGUACGUGUGUUUUGUUUUAGUCAACUUCAAUUUAGGAGCGGAACAAACCAUUGUCACAUUGGUAUUCUUAGCGAAGGAGAAGAUGCUAUAAUUGAGGAGCUGUUGAAAUCAUACAAUGGGAUUUUACUGCCGGCUGAUACCUAGUAUCUUAGUGUGUGAAAUUGUAAGCAAAAUAUCAGCCAAGAAGAGUGCUUAUCGCCACAGUUUUAGAGAACAUUAAUGUAGAACGACUCUUCUAAAGAGUUGCUUGAUCACCACAAAUGAAGCAGGAAGGAGUGGAUAUGAAGUCAAGAAGUUGCAAGCAGAAGACAGAAGCCUUUAACCCUUUAACUCCCAGAUCAAAUUUGUCAUUCUCCUCACUGUCAACCAUACAAUUCUUAUAAUGUUAGUUCAGAUAAUUUAGUAUUGGAUCAACAAAUUAUUCCCUAAUUUAUAUUUUUCGCUAUUCUCAUCACUUAUCUGGUUGAUAUUGCAUUGAUAUUGUAAGGAGAAAUUCUCUCUUGGUCACUCAUGGGAGUUAAAGGGUUAAGGAGAUGUUGAAAAUGAACUUUGAGACAACCUAUAAAAUUUUGACAACUAUUUUACCCCUCUUAUGAUUUUCCAUUUCAGUUUGAGCCUAUUUUUGGCAAGACCACAGACUGAAAAACUAGUUAAUUAUAGUUUGAGUUCAAAUGUGCACCAUAGUUAGUUACUAUCAUUGUCUAUCUGUACCAUUUCUAUAGGGCUUUACAGUAAAUCAGUGUAUAUGUGUUGAACUUGAUAUAUUGACUUCAUUUGAAAUACAUUUUUGUUUCAAUGUGUUGGUGUUGACCCCCAAAUUUCUUCUGCUUCUGCUGCCCCCAGUUCUGUUUUGCCAGCAGUUAGUAGUCUCAUAUUUUCAAAGAGCAUCAGGUUUAUUUUUCUGAUGAGAGUGCUAUAUUCAGGCCUGAAAUUAUACUUCGGUUCAUUUCCCCAGGGACAUUGUGAGACAGUUUUGUGAAUUCCCUGAGAAUGAUUUAUCAUCUGUGAAUACUAAGCCCACUGCUCCUCAUAUUUCCUAACCAAACCCAAAGAAUGUGGCUGACAUCUGGAGGAUCAAUUUUGUAUUACUUCAUAAUAAUUAUUCAUAAUAAUUACUGACAUUUUGAUGAAAAAUCUUUUUUUCCUCAAAUAUGAUAACAAAUUUAUGCUAAUUUUUCUGAAAUUCUUAUUUUAAUACACUUUAAUGUAAGAUAAUGUAGGGCCUUAUUGCUAUAAAUACAUGUUGAGGUAAAAAAAUGAAAACACAGUGUGGUCAAUUUCAUGCAUUUUUGGGGGCCAUAGAUGAGUUAAAGUUUGCAAGAUCAGUACUAAUAUAUAUGACCUAAAUGUAAAUGAGUGAGCCAUUGUUUUAUAUAUGUUAGUGCAUCUAGUUCAAUCUGUUUCCUAAGGACUGUGAAAGGUGUUCACUGUAGUUUAGGGUAAAACUUUGGAGUCAAGGGAAAGAUCAUUUUCCUUGAUGAAAAUUGAAUUAGUUGGUAGUGACAAAACUAAUCAGUGAUCGGUACAGCAUUCUGUGCCACACAGCUUUGGUCCCAUAACAUCUACUUUGUCAGUUUUUCUAAGUUAUUGCAUAAUCUGGUGACUGACAUAAUAUGAUAUGUCUCUGUGUAGAACAGCCCACACAUUACUCAAAGUUCUGUUAAUAGACAGACAUCUUCUGAUUGGACACGGCACUACUGGAUGUACUGAAAGAAUGAUACAUAAGGGAACUUAUAAGAAACAAUAAGCACAUUUAGAGGUGCUCAAAAAAGCCAUAAAGUUACAUAUAUUGUUAAGUUCUAUCAAAAAGGCACUAGAUAGAGCUGUUUAGAGGAUUCCAUGCACAAUCAAAAUCCCUUGGGAAGAUAACUCUUCUACCAAAAGGGAACUAGUAGUAAUAAUAAUGAUAAUAAUAAUGAGACUUUGAUGAUGUUCUUUUUGGGUCUGAGAGUCUGUGUCACCUCAAUAUAAAAACCUGAUCAAAGAAAAUGGGUGGUGCUUGUGUUCUUUAGAGGGUAAUUCUUUGAAAUAAGACCUUCAUAAUGAGGACUCCCGAAGAGUCCCUUUACUUUGGUUCGGAGAACACACACCUUAAUUCCUCUCAAAAAGGGAGAAAACAAAAGACUGGAAAAAUUUUUUUAGCCAUAAAGCACCUUAGGAGGUGCUCUAAAAAAGUC